rnacentral:rRNA from 1 species
AAAAACUGAGGUGGUGUAAGAUGGGCCCGCGUCUGAUUAGGUAGUUGGUGGGGUAGAAGCCUACCAAGCCGACGAUCAGUAGCCGACCUGAGAGGGCGACCGGCCACAUUGGGACUGAGACACGGCCCAAACUCCUACGGGAGGCAGCAGUGGGGAAUAUUGCACAAUGGGGGAAACCCUGAUGCAGCGACGCCGCGUGAGUGAGGAAGUAUUUCGGUAUGUAAAGCUCUAUCAGCAGGGAAGAAAAUGACGGUACCUGACUAAGAAGCCCCGGCUAACUACGUGCCAGCAGCCGCGGUAAUACGUAGGGGGCAAGCGUUAUCCGGAUUUACUGGGUGUAAAGGGAGCGUAGACGGAUAAGCAAGUCUGAUGUGAAAAUCCGGGGCCCAACCCCGGAAUUGCAUUGGAAACUGCAUAUCUAGAGUGUCGGAGAGGCAAGUGGAAUUCCUGGUGUAGCGGUGAAAUGCGUAGAUAUCAGGAGGAACACCAGUGGCGAAGGCGGCUUGCUGGACGAUGACUGACGUUGAGGCUCGAAAGCGUGGGGAGCAAACAGGAUUAGAUACCCUGGUAGUCCACGCCGUAAACGAUGACGACUAGGUGUCGGGAGGCAAAGCCUUUCG